AGGAAGGCAGCAGGCGCGCAAAUUACCCACUCCCGGCACGGGGAGGUAGUGACGAAAANUAACGAUACGGGACUCAUCCGAGGCCCCGUAAUCGGAAUGAGUACACUCUAAACCCUUUAACGAGGAUCAAUUGGAGGGCAAGUCUGGUGCCAGCAGCCGCGGUAAUUCCAGCUCCAAUAGCGUAUAUUAAAGUUGUUGCGGUUAAAAAGCUCGUAGUCGAAUUUGUGUCCCGCGCCGCCGGUUCAUCGUCCGCGGUGUUAACUGGCGUGUCGCGGAAUGUCCUGCCGGUGGGCAUAUCACGCAAGUGAGGCCCAAUCAAUCCUGCCACGGUGCUCUUCACUGAGUGUCGAGGUGGGCCGGCACGUUUACUUUGAACAAAUUAGAGUGCUUAAAGCAGGCUAAAACUUCGC
rnacentral:rRNA from 1 species